rnacentral:rRNA from 1 species
GACGAACGCUGGCGGCGUGCCUAAUACAUGCAAGUAGAACGCUGAAGAGAGGAGCUUGCUCUUCUUGGAUGAGUUGCGAACGGGUGAGUAACGCGUAGGUAACCUGCCUUGUAGCGGGGGAUAACUAUUGGAAACGAUAGCUAAUACCGCAUAACAAUGGAUGACACAUGUCAUUUAUUUGAAAGGGGCAAUUGCUCCACUACAAGAUGGACCUGCGUUGUAUUAGCUAGUAGGUGAGGUAACGGCUCACCUAGGCGACGAUACAUAGCCGACCUGAGAGGGUGAUCGGCCACACUGGGACUGAGACACGGCCCAGACUCCUACGGGAGGCAGCAGUAGGGAAUCUUCGGCAAUGGGGGCAACCCUGACCGAGCAACGCCGCGUGAGUGAAGAAGGUUUUCGGAUCGUAAAGCUCUGUUGUAAGUCAAGAACGAGUGUGAGAGUGGAAAGUUCACACUGUGACGGUAGCUUACCAGAAAGGGACGGCUAA